UUAAAAGUUAAAACGCCUAACAACACAAACUAAAAAUAGAAGCCUCAAAACCUAAACCAAUCAUACUAUCAGUUAAAAAAUGACCUUUCGAAGCUUACCGCGCUGAUGGAAUUCUCAUCUGAGCAAGUUUGCAAAAAAUGUUAGGCAAUUCCGAAUUUUGGCCAAAAGUUAAAACGCCUAACGGCACAAACUGAAAAUGAUAACCUUGAAACCCAAACAAACCAUCCAAUU
rnacentral:lncRNA from 1 species